rnacentral:rRNA from 1 species
AUGACGUAUGAGGCGUACGAUAUCAACGGCUACACAUUCUACACCAAGGACAAGGACAUGAAGAGUGAUGGUUAUCAGAACUCCGGGGUAACGAUGGAAUCCUACACCGGUAACAACAAGGACAGAUACUACGGAAGGAUCGAGGAGAUCUGGGAGCUGAGCUACGCUGGAGAGAAGGUACCGAUGUUCCGUGUCAGAUGGGCCAAGAGCGUCAUAAAAGAAGACCGGUAUUUCACCACCAUGGUUAUACCCGAAGCCAAAUCCAAGACCGCAAGCGCGAACGUCACCGCGAAAAAUGAGCCAUGGGUACUGGCUUCCCAAGUGGACCAAUGCUUCUUCAUUACCGACCCGUCAAAGCCCAAUCGUGUUGUCGUGAGGAGAGGCAAAAGGAAGAUCAUCAGAAUGGAUGGAGUCGCCAAUGAGCAAGACUUCGACAAGUACGGCGACCCGAAGAUGGAACAUGACGACGACGAUGAAGUAUCAGCAUACACCACAAGAAGAAGCAGGACCACCCUACCUAAAGGACGUCCGUUCAAGAGAAGAACUCCAUUUACGAAAAAUAAGGGCAAGAAGAUUGUGAACAGAUAG